rnacentral:rRNA from 1 species
GACGAACGCUGGCGGCGUGCUUAACACAUGCAAGUCGAACGGAAAGGCCCUGCUUUUGUGGGGUGCUCGAGUGGCGAACGGGUGAGUAACACGUGAGUAACCUGCCCUUGACUUUGGGAUAACUUCAGGAAACUGGGGCUAAUACCGGAUAGGAGCUCCUGCUGCAUGGUGGGGGUUGGAAAGUUUCGGCGGUUGGGGAUGGACUCGCGGCUUAUCCGCUUGUUGGUGGGGUAGUGGCUUACCAAGGCUUUGACGGGUAGCCGGCCUGAGAGGGUGACCGGCCACAUGGGGACUGAGAUACGACCCAGACUCCUACGGGAGGCAGCGGUGGGGAUUAUAGCACAAUGGGCGGAGGCCUGAUGCAGCAACGCCGGGUGCGGGAUGACGGCCUUCGGGUUGUAAACUGCUUUCGACUGUGACGAAGCGUGAGUGACGGUAAUGGGUAAAGAAGCACCGGCUAACUACGUG